rnacentral:rRNA from 1 species
CGGCGUCACGAGUGGCAAUCACGUUUAUUGGGUCUAAAGCGUUCGUAGCCGGUUUAAUAAAUCUUUUGUGAAAUUGUCGGGCUUAACCUGACACCGUGCAGAAGACACUGCUAAACUAGAGACCGGGAGGGGUUAGAAGUAUUUCAGGGGGAGCGGUAAAAUGUUAUAAUCCCUGAAAGACUACCAAUGGCGAAGGCACCUAACCAGAACGGAUCUGACGGUGAGGAACGAAGGCUAGGGGAGCGAACCGGAUUAGAUACCCGAGUAGUCC